GAUGAACGCUAGCUACAGGCUUAACACAUGCAAGUCGAGGGGCAGCAUGGUCUUAGCUUGCUAAGGCCGAUGGCGACCGGCGCACGGGUGAGUAACACGUAUCCAACCUGCCGUCUACUCUUGGACAGCCUUCUGAAAGGAAGAUUAAUACAAGAUGGCAUCAUGAGUCCGCAUGUUCACAUGAUUAAAGGUAUUCCGGUAGACGAUGGGGAUGCGUUCCAUUAGAUAGUAGGCGGGGUAACGGCCCACCUAGUCUUCGAUGGAUAGGGGUUCUGAGAGGAAGGUCCCCCACAUUGGAACUGAGACACGGUCCAAACUCCUACGGGAGGCAGCAGUGAGGAAUAUUGGUCAAUGGGCGAGAGCCUGAACCAGCCAAGUAGCGUGAAGGAUGACUGCCCUAUGGGUUGUAAACUUCUUUUAUAAAGGAAUAAAGUCGGGUAUGGAUACCCGUUUGCAUGUACUUUAUGAAUAAGGAUCGGCUAACUCCGUGCCAGCAGCCGCGGUAAUACGGAGGAUCCGAGCGUUAUCCGGAUUUAUUGGGUUUAAAGGGAGCGUAGAUGGAUGUUUAAGUCAGUUGUGAAAGUUUGCGGCUCAACCGUAAAAUUGCAGUUGAUACUGGAUAUCUUGAGUGCAGUUGAGGCAGGCGGAAUUCGUGGUGUAGCGGUGAAAUGCUUAGAUAUCACGAAGAACUCCGAUUGCGAAGGCAGCCUGCUAAGCUGCAACUGACAUUGAGGCUCGAAAGUGUGGGUAUCAAACAGGAUUAGAUACCCUGGUAGUCCACACGGUAAACGAUGAAUACUCGCUGUUUGCGAUAUACUGCAAGCGGCCAAGCGAAAGCGUUAAGUAUUCCACCUGGGGAGUACGCCGGCAACGGUGAAACUCAAAGGAAUUGACGGGGGCCCGCACAAGCGGAGGAACAUGUGGUUUAAUUCGAUGAUACGCGAGGAACCUUACCCGGGCUUAAAUUGCAGAUGAAUUACGGUGAAAGCCGUAAGCCGCAAGGCAUCUGUGAAGGUGCUGCAUGGUUGUCGUCAGCUCGUGCCGUGAGGUGUCGGCUUAAGUGCCAUAACGAGCGCAACCCUUGUUGUCAGUUACUAACAGGUUCCGCUGAGGACUCUGACAAGACUGCCAUCGUAAGAUGUGAGGAAGGUGGGGAUGACGUCAAAUCAGCACGGCCCUUACGUCCGGGGCUACACACGUGUUACAAUGGGGGGUACAGAGGGCCGCUACCACGCGAGUGGAUGCCAAUCCCCAAAACCUCUCUCAGUUCGGACUGGAGUCUGCAACCCGACUCCACGAAGCUGGAUUCGCUAGUAAUCGCGCACCAGCCACGGCGCGGUGAAUACGUUCCCGGGCCU
rnacentral:rRNA from 1 species